AGACCUUGAUGACGACACUUUCUUAGUAGCUCCUUGAACCUUUCCCAAGUUUCAUAUAAGGAUUCCCCAUCCUCUUGUAAAUAUGUAUUAAUUUCAACCAUUAAUUU
rfam:Helianthus annuus linkage group 8, whole genome shotgun sequence.